rnacentral:rRNA from 1 species
UACGGGGGGAGCAAGCGUUGUUCGGAUUUACUGGGCGUAAAGGGCGCGUAGGCGGUCAGCACAAGUCAGUUGUGAAAUCUCCGAGCUUAACUCGGAGAGGUCAAUUGAUACUGCGGGGCUAGAGUGCGGGAAGGGGCAACUGGAAUUCUUGGUGUAGCGGUGAAAUGCGUAGAUAUCAAGAGGAACACCUGCGGCGAAGGCGGGUUGCUGGGCCGACACUGACGCUGAGGCGCGAAAGCUAGGGGAGCGAACGGG